GUUACCUGGAGGCGUACUAAUACAUGCAAGUCGAGCGAACAGACGAGGAGCUUGCUCCUCUGACGUUAGCGGCGGACGGGUGAGUAACACGUGGAUAACCUACCUAUAAGACUGGGAUAACUUCGGGAAACCGGAGCUAAUACCGGAUAAUAUAUUGAACCGCAUGGUUCAAUAGUGAAAGACGGUUUUGCUGUCACUUAUAGAUGGAUCCGCGCCGCAUUAGCUAGUUGGUAAGGUAACGGCUUACCAAGGCAACGAUGCGUAGCCGACCUGAGAGGGUGAUCGGCCACACUGGAACUGAGACACGGUCCAGACUCCUACGGGAGGCAGCAGUAGGGAAUCUUCCGCAAUGGGCGAAAGCCUGACGGAGCAACGCCGCGUGAGUGAUGAAGGUCUUCGGAUCGUAAAACUCUGUUAUUAGGGAAGAACAAAUGUGUAAGUAACUAUGCACGUCUUGACGGUACCUAAUCAGAAAGCCACGGCUAACUACGUGCCAGCAGCCGCGGUAAUACGUAGGUGGCAAGCGUUAUCCGGAAUUAUUGGGCGUAAAGCGCGCGUAGGCGGUUUUUUAAGUCUGAUGUGAAAGCCCACGGCUCAACCGUGGAGGGUCAUUGGAAACUGGAAAACUUGAGUGCAGAAGAGGAAAGUGGAAUUCCAUGUGUAGCGGUGAAAUGCGCAGAGAUAUGGAGGAACACCAGUGGCGAAGGCGACUUUCUGGUCUGUAACUGACGCUGAUGUGCGAAAGCGUGGGGAUCAAACAGGAUUAGAUACCCUGGUAGUCCACGCCGUAAACGAUGAGUG
rnacentral:rRNA from 1 species